rnacentral:rRNA from 1 species
GACGAACGCUGGCGGCGUGCUUAACACAUGCAAGUCGAGCGGUAAGGCCCUUUCGGGGGUACACGAGCGGCGAACGGGUGAGUAACACGUGGGUGACCUGCCCUCAGCUCUGGGAUAAGCCUGGGAAACUGGGUCUAAUACCGGAUAUGACUCCAUGACGCAUGUUGUGGGGUGGAAAGCCUUGUGCGGCUGAGGAUGGGCCCGCGGCCUAUCAGCUUGGUUGGUGGGGUGANGGCCUACCAAGGCGACGACGGGUAGCCGGCCUGAGAGGGCGACCGGCCACACUGGGACUGAGACACGGCCCAGACUCCUACGGGAGGCAGCAGGUGGGGAAUCUUGCGCAAUGGGCGAAAGCCUGACGCAGCGACGCCGCGUGAGGGAUGAC